AUCAACUUUCGAUGGUAGGAUAGAGGCCUACCAUGGUGGUAACGGGUAACGGGGUGUUAGGGCACGACACCGGAGAGGGAGCCUGAGAAACGGCUACCACAUCCAAGGAAGGCAGCAGGCGCGCAAAUUACCCGAUCCCGACACGGGGAGGUAGUGACAAUAAAUAACAAUACAGGGUUCUUUUGGAUCUUGUAAUUGGAAUGAGUACAAUUUAAAUCUCUUAACGAGGAACAAUUGGAGGGCAAGUCUGGUGCCAGCAGCCGCGGUAAUUCCAGCUCCAAUAGCGUAUAUUAAAGUUGUUGCAGUUAAAAAGCUCGUAGUUGAAUUUCGGGAUCAAUAUUUCGGUCAUGCCGUUGGUAUGCACUGUUAUCAUUGAUUUCUCACCUUCUAAAGAACCGUAAUGCCAUUAAUUUGGUGUUACGGGGAAUUAGGACUGUUACCUUGAAAAAAUUAGAGUGUUUAAAGCAGGCUCACGCUUGAAUACAUUAGCAUGGAAUAAUGAAAUAGGACAUCCGAUUCUAUUUUGUUGGUUUCUAGGAUCGAUGUAAUGAUUAAUAGGGAUAGUUGGGGGCAUUAGUAUUCAAUUGUCAGAGGUGAAAUUCUUGGAUUUAUUGAAGACUAACUACUGCGAAAGCAUUUGCCAAGGAUGUUUUCAUUAAUCAAGAACGAAAGUUAGGGGAUCGAAGACGAUCAGAUACCGUCGUAGUCUUAACCAUAAACUAUGCCGACUAGGGAUCGGAUGAUGUUAAUUUUUUAAUGACUCAUUCGGCGCCUUACGGGAAACCAAAGUGUUUGGGUUC
rnacentral:rRNA from 1 species